AUGGGGAUCUGCUGCAGCAGGGAAGGAGGGGGGAGGGAGCUCGAGGAGACGGAGGGGUGGUUCCCGUGGAAGCACGACGACUUCUUGCAGGAGCAGCUCGCCGGCGCCGCUGGGGUGUCCAUGCACACCAAGCAAGGCUGGAAGGGCGUCAACCAGGACGCCAUGGCCGCCUGCCAGGACUUCGCCGGGCACAAGGGCCAGAUCUUCUGCGGGGUGUUCGACGGGCACGGGCCCCUCGGCCGGGACGUCGCCCGGCAUGUCCGGGACUCCCUUCCCAAGAAGCUGUCCGCCUCCCUGGCACCGAGCACUGAGGACGACGCCCCCUCCAGCAACAGCAACGCGGACGUGGACUCGUUCGACAAGUCGGAUUGCACCUCGUCCAGCGACGCCAGCGACGAGAACCAGCUGCUGUCCUCGUGGAAGAGCUUGAUCGUGAAGGCGUUCGAGGACGUCGACGAGGAGCUGAGGCAGCACUCCGGGAUCGACUGCCUUUGCAGUGGCACCACUGCUGUCACCGUCGUUAGGCAGGGUGAUCACUUGAUCAUUGCCAAUUUAGGCGAUUCGCGCGCUGUUCUUUGCACGCGGGACAGCAAGGGCCGCCCGGUUUCGGUGCAAAUCACCACCGACUUGAAGCCAGAUCUUCCUGGUGAGGCUGAGAGGAUCCUGAUCUGCAAGGGGAGAAUUUUCGCCAUGGACGAUGAGCCCGACGUGCCUAGGCUGUGGUUGCCGGACCAGGACGCGCCAGGCCUCGCCAUGGCGAGGGCUUUCGGAGACUUCUGCCUCAAGAACCAUGGGCUCAUCUGCACACCCGAAGUGUACUACAGGAAGCUCUCUGAAAAGGAUGACUUCUUGGUGCUCGCCACUGAUGGGAUAUGGGACGUGCUGUCCAACAAGGAGGUGGUCAAGAUCGUCUCGUCGGUCUCCGACCGCUCAAAGGCGGCAAAGCAGCUCGUGGACCGGGCGGUUCGUGCGUGGCGCCGGAAGUUCCCGACGUCGAUGGUCGAUGAUUGCGCGGCCGUCUGCCUCUUCCUGAAGCCAGCAGCCAUUUCAUCUGAAGAAGGCAGCACGACCAAGCCGCCUCAGACACCCGUGCUGUCGUUCACCGGAAGUUUCCGCAAGGCUCUGGGCGGCGGUGAGGCGGAGGAGGGGACGGCGGUGUGGAGGGCGCUGGAGGGGGUGGCUCGGGUGAACUCGGUGAUCCGGCUUCCCAGGAUGCUGAGCCGGCGGUGGCGGUCGGCGUCCAUGGAUGAGAACAACGACCAAGAAUCAUCCAAGGCUGAUUGA
rnacentral:rRNA from 1 species